UGCUAUGUUGUUGUCUUGCCUUGAUGUUUUUGGUUGUUGUGAGCUUGCAAGUACAUUCAAUGUACUGACCUGGCGUGUCAUGCCAGAUUGCAGGUGAUGCCGUGAUUGCUUGAUUGCCUGUCGUGGUUCCGUUUGUGCGAGCUAGAUCGUGUCCCAGCCAGAGUCCCUGCAGAGUGGAGUUCACCACCUUCGUCGUUGUUCCGCUGCUAGAAGAUUUCCGCUGCUACGAGUUGUUCUGCUGCUAGCAUAUAAAAAGUGUAGUAUCGCAGGCGUAGUGUCUCCGUGCUGAUGUGAACCUUUGUAACAUCAGACCUUUGUAUUUAUUCUUGUAAUAAGAGCUGAUUUGUUCUAUGUCAAGCAGUUCCGUAUUCUAGAGACUUCUCCUUGAUCUUUGGGCUGGAAUACGGGGCAUUCCGGUUUCUCUGAGCCGGGGUGCCACAGGCUUGGUAUCAGAGCAGGUCUGGCUGUAGGACGCCCUAGUUAGCGCGAGAGGUAGAAACCGGUAGAAAUAGGUAGUAUAGAGUCUGGUGUGUUUGUUCCAUUUGGUUGCUACGUAGCAUGCAUAUAGCCGUAGUAUUUGUGAUAACGGUUUAUCUGGUGAGUGUAGCUGGCAUCGGUUCGGAUCCACUACAUCUCAAUCUUUGCAUUUCUCCAGUUCCUUUUUCUUUCGGUGUUUGGUGUCAUCUCUGCCCCAGCAGAGUGAUGCCAAGUGAUCCCGACACUGUUUGCAAAAAUGGUGCUCAGGUAUCGCACCGAUGUCUUGCUUUCAGCCCCGUCUAUCAUUUCGGUGAUGGACAUGUUUCUAUCCCGGAUCAUUCUUUUGUCGUGUUGGCAACCCUUAGUGAUCUUAGUUAUCAAGAAAGGGCAAUGUCAGUAGCCUCAAUUUUUCCCGCUAUCCUAUUUCUUGGACGAGUAUGGAUCCUUUUCCGUCCACUUGAUAAUUAUGUGGUUGCGACCUUCAUGUCCCACUGCAUGAUUACCAAGUACGUCCUUGCCUCUGAGCUAGUCCAGGUUGCUUUCUGGCUAAGCUAGCACUUGGUGUAGCAUUGUUUACACCAAUUCUUCCACACAUUUAUUCGUCCUCGUGCACAUCGUCACAGCAUGCUAGAUCGUAGAACUGGAGAUCCCGUGAAAUUUGUGUGCUUAAGUAGGCAUGCAUAUUGUGUGACUAGCAGUAAUAUGUGACAUUGAUUGUGUGUGAAUUGUUCGUUGUUGUUUAGUUGAGUUUUCUUUGGUUUCUUUCUCUUGGGCCCCGGUGUUACAUUAUUUUUCCCUAUAAAGAAUUGCUCAUCCAGUGACACCGGACUCGAAGAAGCAAUAAGGAUUUGAAAUAUUUGGAAGAAGCUCAGCUAAACAUUAUGGUCUACACAGUCAAAUGCAUUGUGGCAUUAAAAUCUAUUCAGAAUACCAAUGGUGUAUUGGAUUAAUUAUCAGCAUCGAGUCUACAUCAGUACAAAUCCCCACAGCAGUUAUGAUCCAGCCAGCAGAAAGACAAGUCAGGUACAAGAUCAACGGUAUAUCUUCAGAUAGAGGUAUGGAUCACAUACAAAAUUUUGGCUCAAAAAUGCAUGAUGCUUGAAAUAUGUUAUCAUCCAAAAUAAAUUCAGAAUGUGAGAUGAUCAAGGAAGAUAGUCGAACCAUUUUUCUCAUGCAAAUAAUCAGCCUCAGAAUAUUAUGGGCAUGUGUAUGGAUUUUAGUUUGCAUGAAAGUAUGAAUUAUUGGAUAUAAGAAACUCAGUCUUCUUCCGCGCGUUAUUGGAAGAAAUUUAUGAUGCAAGGCUCCUCGAAUAUUCCUCAACAUGAUAUGUGAACAAUUUUUGGCCCACGAUACCCGGUCUUUCUCAGCAAGAUACCUGGGUAAGCUUUAGACAGUUAGAAAUAAUUUUUUUUCAACAAACAAACCUAAGGAGAAGCUUCUCACGUACGGAACUCAAGCUUCUCCAGCACAGUAAUCAAACCAAGCUUCGUGUGUAAGCUAUAGAGCCUUCUUCUGCACGAUACACAUACAAAAUAUUUAAGCAGAAGUUAACAAGUCUUCCUCAGCAAGCUACUCGGAUGGCUUCUAUCGUAAGCCAUUUAGUCUGCGUCAGUAUCAUACUAUUGCACCAUCCUCAGAGGUUUUAUGAAGAGUUGUCAAUAUGUGGUAGUACCGUUCAAGGACUAGACUUGCAGUAAUUUUGUCAAAGUGAUCUAGCAGAUAUACCUAAGAAAAGUAAGGAUCCCACAACCUCCCCUGUUAGGCAAACGAAAAUUAGCAAAAAUACAUCUCAUGUGAUGCAAGAAGCGAUAAUAUUUGGAGAUGACAUCACAAAAUCCAUAGUCUUGACAAUGGUCAUCAAGAUCAUUAUUCUCGCAAUUGACAUGGAGAUAUUAUAAAACCUUGUCACCUUCUUGUAUGAUUGGCCUCAGCAAUGAGCUCUGUAUAGCUACAAACCCCGGGUAUAUGUCAUAUGUGUGCGGACUCAGGUCAGAAAACAAGGAGGAAUAAUGUCAAAAAUACUAAUCGCAUCCAUGGUCAUAUGAAGAAUCAAGGACAUGUGUGGCCAAGUUAUUUCAGCAAGGUAACCUGACGAAGAAAAUCAUGACCGUAUAAAGGAUGAGACUGAUAGCAAGAGCAUGAUGAUUUUUGCACGACCAUCAGGGUCCGGAUACCCAAGUCAGUUGAAAGACAUAAUCCCAUAUGGAUCCACAAAGGCAAACUCUCAGCGGCCUACUCUAUUUACAAGGAUUUUUCAUAUCCCGCCGACCCGCUUGACAUGGUUAGUGUGGAAUAUCCAAGUCUGUUCUGUCAGAUCCAAGAUUCCUUUGCAACCUCAGCAGUCUGACCUCAGCGACAAUGUUAAAACAUAUCGUAGACUAUUACCAUAGAUGGGUAUAUCGACCUCAUGAGAAAAAUCAAAAGCUGAACAAUCAACUCAGACCCGGUAUACUCACCGGAAUCAAGUACAUGGUCAGUCUGUCGGGGAAAGCAUUUGUCCGUUAGCCCCUGUCGGGCUAGUCUCAAGAUGUAAAUAAUUGAGGUUUGACACAGCUAUGACUCCAUACACCGAUAUAUUGCUCACGAUAGAAGGCAGUCAAAUCUUUGGUACAUAUCUCAUGCUCGAGCCAAAGGCAUAAAUCAAGAUAAAUCAAUGCCACCUAUGAGCAGUCAGAUUCCAUCGGGAGAUGGCCAUGAUAAUUCUCAGCAUUUAUGGAAACUAGAUGGCCUGCAUUUAUUUGAAGCAACCAUAUGACAGAAGCAAAAAGGUUUUCAUGAUCAAAAGAAAAUUUAUGUUCAGAUCCAUUGGACACCACCGUAGAUAUGAGAAAAUUCACGUCAACAAAAAGAAUUGGUAUAUGAGAAAAGACCUGUCAGAAUUUGGGAAAGGUGAAGCAAACCACCCUAGAUCAAGGUAAGUUCAUCAUCUGAAAUUCUUGGGGGAACAAUAAAUAAAGGAAAAAGGAUACCCAAGUUGGAGACGGUGUCCUCAAGUCAUACUUGUUCCCUGAUCAACCAAAUCUCGAGGACGAGAUUUCUUUAAGGGGGGAAGGUUUGUAACAGCCUGGAUUUUGUCCCUUUUCUUUUUCUUUUGAUUUAUUUUGUUUUUGCUCUGUUUUUCUUUUUGGAGUGGUUCUUUGGCCUUGUCACCUGGGAAAUCAUCCUCAUUCCUCCUCCCAAGUGGCUCAUCAUUCUCAAAACCUCGCCAAGAUCAUGUCACUUCACUCCUUGACCAAACCCUAAACUCUUUUUCUAGGGAAAAAUCCUUUUUCAUUAAAGGAAUAACCCUAUCUGCCCUAGGUUGUGAAGCAACCUAUAUUUCUGUCCAUCCAAAAAUCCCCAAUUAAUUCUCAUAAUUCAUUGAGUCAUAUAUAGCUCAAAUAUGCCCAGAUAUUGCCUUGGCUAGUUCAAAAAUAAUUCUCCAAUAUUCAUUUUUCUAUUCUGCCCUGAAUGGCACUUUGUGAAGGAAGUGUCAUUUAUAUUUAUCCUAGUGCCUCCCAACCUUUUUGGGCAUGAUUAUAUGUCCAAAUAAUUGCCCCAUGCACAAGUUCAAAUUUAUUUGCCUAGCCAAUCUUCCUCAGUGAAUUUUCAAAGUUUCUCUCAAACAGAAGGCUCUGUGAAGGAAGUACUAGCUAGGAGUAUCCAAAUGAGUUGAACUUUUGCAUACUCCUUAAUGUGCUCAAAUUAACCCCCUCUACCCAUUUGUAGCCCCAUCCAAUCAGCUAUGUGAGCACAAGAGCAAAUCUUUGAUUCUGGCAGUAUUUUCAGGUUGUGAAGCAAGUGUAUUUUAUAUUGCUUCAAAAAUCCUGAUAAAUUAGAAGACCAUUCUGAUACCCAUAAAACAUAACUCCACCCAAUUUGGCAUCAUUUCAUUGAUCCAUUUGAUCACCAAUAUUAUUCCAAGUUUCUGUCCAGAGGAGAUGUUUGUGAAGCAAGUGCCAUUUUGGCUUAUCCAUUUGGCAUGAUCUUUUUACAGCAUCUUAAUAUGCACAAAUAACCCAGCUUUGCCCAAUCUUAGGCCAAGUUGAAACUCCAUGUGAGUGCACCAUCAUGAUCUAGUUUCUGGACCAUUUUUGUCAAUUGUGAAGCAACUGCAGUAAAUCUUGGUCCAUUUCUCCUCAAACUCUCCAGAACUGUAGUCCUUCCUAGGUUAAACACCCCAGACAUAACACUUGACACAUAUCAGCCCCUUGUUUAUCUCAUUGAGCUCACUAACCUUUUAACCACAGCCGUUUUCACAAAACUACCACCGCAGUUGAAACCCACCUUCGACGGACUUACCACUAGACAACAUUGGCCAGCCAUUUGGCUCUUCCUGAUGCCAGUCUGCGCGGUGACCACCGCUUUGGCAUGCAAUGGCCGCAUCCAGAUUGGUUUCUUGCUCGGGCCCCUCCCCCUCUCGUCGGCUUCGCACUUGUGAAGAUGUCCAGUAGAUAGCCCGCAUCGUCGCCGUCCUCCUGGACCCCUCUUCCCCUCCGUCCGCUUCCUCGUUGGCGCUCGUUGCCACGUGCCCACGGGUGAGCAGUGCCGACAUGCAUUAAUGGCGCUUGGCUGCUUCCCUCGCCUCAACCUCUUCUGCCCGUGAGCUCUGUGGCUCGUCCGCAUCCCCAUCGUCGCGUUCCCCGUGCCCUCCCGUGCUCGCUGGCCUCGCCAGAGCAUCGACCAGAUGCGCACGACGGCACCCGAGCCCAUCCCUCUUGCCCCGGCUAUAAAUAGCCAUCCCCAAGCCCUCCCAAGCUUACUAGCAGCCUCGCCACCCUCCUCUUCCCCUCCCUGACCACUAGCCCGAGCUCCAGGUGCUCUCUGUGCCCCCCAUCGCCGCCAUGGCAGCCGUCGGGCUCCGCUCGAUUUCGGCAAGCUGAGCUCCCUCCCUCCUCCAUUCCACCACCAUAAUGCCCCCUGGACCCCCCCUAGAAGCCUCCCCGUCGUGUCUCUCCUCCUUUGUUAGCCUCUGGCCACUGUCCCCAUCUGUGCCCGACGCAGCCGUCCGCCAUGCUCGAGGCAGCCGCCGCUCUGGUCUUCCUCGACAUGCGCAAAGCCCCUGGUUGGAUGCGUCGUUGAGUGUUGAAUCCAUCCAUAGCCAGAGCGUCGCCGGAGAUGCCCUGUAGUGCCGGCAAUCGCCGUUGGGGCGUGCCUCUCCCCUCGGCGAGGAGCUACCCGAGCGGGAGGUUGAAGACAGCCAGGCCAGGCAGGCCCCAGCUCCUCGUGGCCCCACCUGUCGGCGGUUAGGCAUUGACCCAGCCUACCCAGCUGGAUAAGUGUUGGGCCCCACGGCCCGUGGGACCCGCACGUCAGCGACCCAGCCGGCCGGUCCCAUCCCUGCUGACAUGGCAAGUGGAACCGUAUUUUUGGUGAGUACGUUUUCAAUGACCAAAUGCGUAUUUCUGAAAACCCGUUUCUGCCUUAUCCACUCAGGGACUUGGUUGUGAUGUUAUUUUUGCAGAAAAGUCCCUGAACUUCAACACCCCACAACUUUUCAAUCAUAACUCCGUUUAAGGUGAAACCAAUGCUCACUUCUUCAUUUCGUUGAGCCCGUUCUGUUGGUUUCAUUUUCACUAUGGUUUGGCACUAUGAAAAUGACCAUUUUGCCCCUGCUCUUAAUCAGCCCCCUCCGAGAGAGAAUGAUUUUUGGUGAUUCGUUCCGCGAGCUUCUCGCACUUUCUUCCAGUGAUUUCUUCCACCCCAGGCAAGCCACACCCUCCAUUUGCAUCACUGUAAUGCAGUGACAUGGUUUAAUUCAUUUUGAACUUGUGUAAAAUAUUGCUUUGGUAACAUACUUUGUGCAUGGCAUUUUCUCAGAGUAUUAUUUUGAUCUUGUGGUUGCCAUGCUAUUGUUUGGAUUACUAGGAGUUAUGUGUGUAGUUGAUGAGUAUCAUGUUGUCAUUGGAGUAUUACUGGCUGAUAUUAUGAUUGUUUCAGGAUGAUAUCGGUUUGGAGUACUACUUUGGAUAUCAUGCUACCUUUGGAUCAAUAGUAGUUAGUAUGAUUAUUUUCCUGAUGCUAGUUGAUGUUCUGUUGCUUGGAGUAUUAUUUUCGGAGAUGAUGGUUACAUGUGGAUCUUAGCUGGAUAGCUGUAUUCUUAUUAUUAGAGUAGUAGGAUUAUUGUUUCGGAUUCAUCAUGAUAGUAGUGUUAUGCUAUCCUCGGAGUAUUUUGGUAUGAUGAUAUUAUGCUUGGAUUAUUUGUUGGAUAGUGCUAUGACUUGGAUUAUAGUUUGAUGGGUGACAUCGGAAUAUCAGUUAUUAUGGUUAUAUUUUUGGGGAUAAAUUCCGUUAUUAAGUUGGUCAGGUGCCGCCGAAUCGAACUUUUCCAGUGCAACCACAUUUGCCGGUAUGGGACGGCCCUAAUGCGUUCUAUUGCCGUGCCUCUCACCGGUGCCUCUAACUAGGGAAUGUUAUGGGCACGUGCUACCCUAAUCAGGUAGGCGGACAUAAGCCUUGUGUGCCCGUUGUUUGAGUUUUUGGAUCCGUGUCCCCGUGUGGGACGGGACACAACGGUGGUCGAUGUGUCUUGAGGUAGACACGGGGCCACCCAUGACUUAGCCCAGUGGGGAGUGAGUCGGAGUGGCCGGGAGAGUGUCAUGGCAGUAGAUCAGUUUUGUCGGAAUACAGUUGGUCCACCCGAUUGGGAGUGCGAGGCCAUGGGUUCUGUGGUGUGGGUAUAGUGCGCUACCUCUACAGAGUGUGUGUUUAACCUAUCGAUAGUCAUGUCCUCGGUCAUGGGCAUGGGUUCAUAAUAGGGUACACCGUUCGAUCAACACUCACAUGACGGAAUGACUUAUAGGUGAUGGAUAUGUGGAUAUUUGGAGCAGUACAGAUUGGCCAGGUAUUGGUCGGGGUUGUGAUCGCCGUAAGGAUCAUGGGCCAUUUAUUGGUCAGGUUGUGGUCGUCGUACGGAUAAUGGGCCAUUUAUUGGUCGGGUUAUGAUCGAUGUAAGGAUCACGGGACAUUUAUUGGUCGGGUUGUGAUCGUCGUAAGGAUCAUGGGACAUUCAUUGGUCGGGUUGUGAUCGCUGUAAGGAUCAUGGUUACAGUUUGGUUUUGAUCACGAGGUGAUCCAGAUGGUAUAUUGCUUGUCCGGUUAUCCAAGAGAGAUAUGGUUAUGGAGAUCGGAGAUGGUGAUUUAUCAGUAUUGUAGUAGUUUCAUAUUAUGCUUAGGAGUUGUUGUUAUAUCAUGGUAGCUGUUAAUUUAAUUAACCUACUUAAUGCUAUGUUGUUGUCUUGCCUUGAUGUUUUUGGUUGUUGUGAGCUUGCAAGUACAUUCAAUGUACUGACCUGGCGUGUCAUGCCAGAUUGCAGGUGAUGCUGUGAUUGCUUGAUUGCUUGUCGUGGUUUCUGUUCGUGCGAGCUAGAUCGUGUCCCAGCCAGAGUCCCUGCGGAGUGGAGUUCACCACCUUCGUCGUUGUUCCACUGCUAGAAGAUUUCCGCUACUACGAGUUGUUCUGCUGCUAGCAUAGAGCAAGUGUAGUAUCGUAGGCGUAGUGUCGCCGUG
rnacentral:lncRNA from 1 species